GUUUAAUAUAAAGAUAAUUUGUAUUUAUUUUUAACUUAUACAAAAUAGAAGUUUAAAAAAAUUACAUGUAAAAAAGCACUAAAAAGACUAAAUUGAAUCUAGGCCCAUAACCAUUAACCCAUUUUAAUAAUACACAACCCAUCAAUAAUGCACAACUACCCAACACAUCAAUAAUACAAUACACAACAGCACAGAACAUAAUACACAACCAUGUUGUUCUCGAUAACAGAGGCAAUCAACAGCUAGGUACUUCUUCUUGUCCUUCUUUCAGUAUCUAUCUACAAUGGGUGGGCCUCCUUUCGCUGGCUCUCCUGGAUG
rnacentral:misc_RNA from 1 species